GACAGUGUGGCUUAGCUUUCUGAGGGACAGCUUGGUGCCCUGCAGCUGUCUUAUCUGGGCUGAGGAGGACUGGUAUCACAUUUCAUGCCAAUCUAUAUGCACAGAGGAAGUUCCAGGCCUAUCCAAAGUGGAACAGAUCAGCAGCCUCAAGCUUCGUGACUUGUCACUCAGGUCAACAGUUCAGACCAGUCCCAGCUCAUCCACCUCCAUUCCACCCCAUCACAGUUCCUGGGUUAUUUGGAAGCAAGUCUCCAACAAAACAGCUAAUGUGCAAAUAUUUGAGUAUAUAUUCUAAAAAGCGUGAGUCUUCAACGUUAUCAUACCUGUGGGUGGUCAUCUAACACCCUCAAAUACCAAGUCAGCAUUCGAUUUCCCUAAUGGUCCCUUAGAAGUCUGAAGACCUACUUCAAUCAGGAACCCCCAGAUCUAUGUAUCAUUUGUCAUGUUUCAUAAAUCAUUUCAAUUUUCAAA